rnacentral:rRNA from 1 species
UACGUUGGGGGCGAGCGUUGUCCGGAAUUAUUGGGCGUAAAGAGCGUGUAGGCGGUUCGGUAAGUCUGUCGUGAAAUCCUGGGGCUCAACCCCGGGCGUGCGAUGGAUACUGCCGGGCUAGAGGGUGGUAGAGGCGAGUGGAAUUCCCGGUGUAGUGGUGAAAUGCGUAGAUAUCGGGAGGAACACCAGUGGCGAAGGCGACUACCUGGCCUGUUUCUUGACGCUGAGGCGCGAAAGCUAGGGGAGCAAACGGG